rnacentral:rRNA from 1 species
UAUGGAGGGUGCGAGCGUUGUCCGGAAUCACUGGGCGUAAAGGGUGUGUAGGUGGCGCCGUAAGUCGGGUGUGAAAUCUCGGGGCUUAACUCCGAAACUGCAUUCGAUACUGCGGUGCUUGAGGACUGGAGAGGAGACUGGAAUUCAUGGUGUAGCAGUGAAAUGCGUAGAGAUCAUGAGGAAGACCAGUGGCGAAGGCGGGUCUCUGGACAGUUCCUGACACUGAGACACGAAGGCCAGGGGAGCAAACGGG